CAAAAAUUAACCACAAGCACAACUCCGAGGCCACGCCGGAGUCAUUUCGACAAGUCGGCAACGUAGUAGAGCCAGCGGAUGAUUUUAUGUUUCGGUGGAUGGCGACGACGAUGAAGGCGGAGCCGCGACGAAGCCAUGAUGGCGACGCCCUCUCCUAACGUUCCAGUGGGCCUUGACUCGCAUUCCAAUCGGUGUCCAGUUGCCGUGGAUCUCAUAAGGCGCGUUAGGGAAGGGGGAUAAAGCUUCCUUCUUUUGGACUUUCCAUGGGGAGGCAUUAGGAAGAGGGCGGGGACAAGUGGAACUGGAAGUGGGAUUGAAAGAUUUAGCAGGAGGGGUAUCACCAUGCUUAUAAGCGCUAACUUCGGAUGGGUAGGCCGACAGGAUAGGAGAAAUAAUAGGAGUGGAAAGAAAAACAACAUAAUCCUUGGUUAGCAGGAGACCACGAUCAGAAGAAAUAAGAAAGUUAAGGCUCAGAAUAAGAGGGAUGGAUUUAUGGGGCAUAGGACGUGUCCAGAGUUGAGAAAGGGAAAGAGGAGGACUAAAAAUACCACAAUUAGUAUAAAAACGAAUAUGGACAUUUUUUUACAAAUUUAUGACAGCUUAGUCGCUGGCUGUCAAACUGUAUACUAAGGAGAGGUGUGUUGGUGGUUUUGAUAAGAGAAGGGAUAAAGGAAGUGAGCAAAGCUUCAUCAAUAGUAGCGGUAGUAGCACCACUAUCUAAGAAUGCCUGAAUGUUUAAGGUGCAUUGUAUGGGAAUGUCAAUAGUAAGGCUAGUAUUACAAAUACUGGGAGUUUAGAUAAAAACAAACUCAGUAUGAUCAAGUUCUUCGGAAAGUACAACACCCUUACCUUUAUCAAGAGUAAAAGGUUGAGCAAAAGAUAGGGGAGUGGCAUCCCCAAGCAGGAGCAAGUUCAAUUUCUAAUAAGUUAAGACGGGUUUCUAAAACAGAAACUCGUGUUUCUAAUAAAAUAUUACAAGUACUACCUUUCACAGUACGUGUUUGUGGAAUUGUAAUUUGGAAGAGUGCAUCAAGGCAAAGAUUACAACAUUGCCAUUUGCAAAUUUUACAAGUACCACGGUGAAAGAUAGAAGGAUAAUCGCCACAUGUAAAACAGGGGAUAUUUUCAGAACCUUCCUUAAAUAUCCAGUCAUGUGGGCAAGUAUGUUGAUCCGAACGUAAAUUGGUUAAGUUUUGGGGUAUAAACUGAUAAUACAUGAAAGUCAAAUUAGUAAAUUCAUUUAAGGUUUCAUCAAACAUGGGAUCAUCAAGAGGAUCAUCAUCAGAAAUAUCGUCAUUAUAAGGAUCCAAAAAGGAGUUUAUUAAAGAAUAAUCAAUAGAAGAGGGUACUACAGUAUCAAAUAAAUAGAAGAAGUAUCAGAUACAUCUGAUUGAACUUCUAUUAAGUCGAAAUUUGUAUCGCCCACUACCAUAGCUUCUAGUCUAUACAAAUUUUUCUUGUCAGGACAAACAGGUGAAAGAUGUCCUGGUUUAUGACAAGCAAAGCAAAUAAUGAUAUUAGAAUAAGUUUUCUUGGGUUUGAAUCGUCUCACAUGUUUGUCUUUGUUUAAAUAAGGUUUUCGCUCCUUGCUUUUUCUAAUGUAAUAAGUCUUUUUGGGUGUGAAUUUUGGUUUAGAGGAGAGUUUUGCUGGUGGUUUCAUAUGUCUUUGUCGUUGUCUUAUUUGUUUUUGUUGACUCCCAUAUUGUCGUGGAGUAUAAAUUUGACUACAAAAUCCAUAUUGUUGGUUUUUAAGUUUUUUUGGAUUUUAAUAUAAGUACAUUUAGUCUUAAGGGUGGUUAAAAAUGUCUUGGAUCCUGACGCCUAUGUUGUCAUAGAGUGCGGGAACUUGUAGAUCUGUCUAAGAUUUAUGAAUCUCUUUUCCUAAGUCUCCUGGUAUUUUACUAAACAGUCGUUUGUCUAACGCUGGGUUACAAUAGUUUCUAGAAACAGCUGUUAAAACUAAAAAGUCAUUAUAUAAUGGUUUAAUGUAAUUCCAAUUAUAUAGUUAGAGUUGUUCUAAGUCUCUCAUUGCUUCCUCUUGUCCGAUAUCGAGUCUAGUAGCCAAGAGUCUAUGAAUUGUAUAACAAAAAUUAAGAAUAUUAUUUCCUUGAGAGGCAAUUCUAGUAACUUCAUCAGGAAAAUGAAGUUUAAAAUCUUCCCAGAUUGCUCUGGCAACACCACCUAAAUAAUUUUCUCCUACUCGUAUCAUAGCAUCACCGGUUUCUAUAUCAAGUUCAUGUUUGGCUUGAUAGUCCCUUUUGAAUGGAACUAUUUAUUGCUCUAAGUAUUAUAUAACUGAAGAUCACAUUCAGUUACAUUAAGUAGAACUACGUCUUUUCCAAAGAAAGUCAUUUAUUGAGGUCUUCUUUUACCUGUAGUUCUUACUAAAGGAUUGUUAUUAGUAUAGAGAACUAUUCUAGUUCUCAGAGGGUGUCAUUAGCCAUAAUCCAUAGUUUUCAUUGUGCUUGCUGGCUAACAGCUAUGAGUGACUAUAGUUAAUGAUCACAAAUUCAUAGGUUUGGGGUUAGUAAGAACAGAAUCGGUCAACUGAAUAAUUUUAUUUCAUGAUGCCACAUUUGCAUUUUCUUUUGUGUCACCACUUUCUCCCGUCAUCAAUUCUUUUUUCUUGUGUUUUCUUGAGCUGAUUUAACUAGGAGGCAAUGCCUUUCUCAAUUAUUAUUUUGGCAUGCUGAUAAUAGUCUCUAUGCUCUUUGAAUUUUCUUCUCUACACCUAAAGUUGCAGUUAAAGUGCAUAUUUUGGUUCCCUAAUUAUGUUCUGAUGUAACAUUGCUCAGCCUUUUUGAUCAGCAAGAUUGCUUUUCAAUUGAUUGGAUGCUCCCAUUAAAUUGAUAAGCAUGGUCGACGUUGGCUUGGUCAAUCUGAUCAUCAUGACUUGCCCAAUCAAGAGAAUUGAUGUUGUUCAUUCAGUUUGCUUGAUUCCUCUUGUUCAAGGAUCAAAUUUUUUUAGGCUGCAGAGAAUGUAAAGGUCCAGAAGCUUGUUCCCCUCUGAGAAGUCCGCAAAGGACAUUUAGUCUCACACUGACAAGAAGGCGACCCUUUCCUCUAGGAGGCUUUUGAGACUAGAUCAUAAAUGCAGCCUUUAAAGGCAUGCCCAAGGACUUUGGGUUGAAAAAAUUAAAGGUUCUCCAUAUAGUUAACAGUAGGGCACCAAGGAACCUACAAAGAGCAAAGCUUGGUGUCCAUGUAUUCUAUUGUUAACCAAACCAACUUUAUACUGAAACUUCGAUUGCACUCUGUUCGCUUUGCUUGCAAACACAUGCAGCACAUCUAAUUAAAAGCCACCGAGCCUAAUGGUGAGUGCAACUUCUUUUCUUCAUCAACUAAAUGCGAGAGCACGUUAAAAAGUUUCUUGGAAGUUUCUCCUAUAUGUGUUUUGCUACUUUAUUAGCCAAUAGAUUCUCUCUCCUAUAUGUGUUUUGCUACUUUAUUUUCGGUGACAAAAGCGUGGUUUGCC